rnacentral:misc_RNA from 1 species
CGACCCCUAAGCCUUAGUUGUUUAGCGUUGGGAGUUUGCAACCUCGUGGUUUAGCCGCGACGCAACUCCUUAAAUUUUCGUGGCAGGGCUCGCGUCGCCUUGAAGUGUAGUAAUUUUCUUCUCACUUUUAGAAGGCGUUCGCGCGGCGCAGCCAAGUGAAACAUACAUAUAUCAAGU